UGGAUGCCCUUCCUGUCACCAAUGUGGAGUUAUAUUCAGCAGAUAUAUUCUCAUUGUGCCCAGAGAGAGAAAUAUCUGGGAUUGAACCUACAUAGGAUCGAACUCACAAUCUCCUGAUUGGGAGGUGAGAGCUCCACCUCUAGGCCACCGCACCAUUCCUACAUGAUCUGUAAUGCUACAGAUACUUCAAUUUUGUCAACCGGUGGAACUUCCUAGAACACACCAAAAGAGGUUGUCAAACUUGUGACCUGCGGACCGGUUGCGUCAGGUGCUGGCCCAGCCCCACCCGGUUCAAUAAAGGGGAAAUCCUGAAACAUCACGUGACGAUGCUGUGACGACGUGGGUUUGACAUCCCUUUUCUAGACCAACCUCAUUUUUAGAUUAAAAAAAUUUCUUGUGAAUUGGUAAAUAAACAUAUUCAGAUGUUUAAAUGUUUUAAAA